GCACUACUGAGGAGUUUCGCAAUAGGACGAAACGGCCGUCCAGUGC
rnacentral:hammerhead_ribozyme from 1 species